UUUCGGCCAUAAUUAUGUUGAAACGCGGAUUCUCAUCCAAUCACUGAAGUUAAGCAAUAUUGAACCUGGUCAGUACCUAGAUGGGUGACCACUUGGGAACGU